GACUCAGAGAUGACCAACUCUGUGUGUGUGCUACACUCAGUUCUCUCCUUUCAGCCAGGGAUGAGUCUUAGGCUCACAGAUUUGUGAAUGUGAGCUUGCUUUGUUGCAUCCAACAUAACAUGUUUUCUGGUUUGUUUUUUUCCUGCAUGCUGGUUUCCUUGGUGUGGUUUCGCUUUCUAUCUGUGCUGGAUUCCUAACCUGCACUGGGGAAUCAGAAGCAAGGUCAGAGUCAAAGUCUUUUUGAUAAAGAACCAGGAAUACAUACCAGCACAUCUGGGCUGACUGUCCUUCUUCCCAAGGGAUAGAUCAAUCUCAGAGAAGAUGGUCCUUCCUCUUGAUCUACAGGGUACUCUCUAGAUCAGUAGAGCCUCCUUACAAGUCACCACAUGUAAAUUGGAUUUACAUCCCUAUCAUCUAGAGGAUAGCAAGCACAGAGAACAGCAAAGACAAAAAAGAAAGGACAAAGAACUCAGAGGGUGACACACUAAUCACUUUGGGUCAUUUUUUUCCUGUUUUACCUUGACUCUGACUUCUAACAAAAAGAGAACAUCAAGAAGAAGAAAAUGAAAGAAACAAUCAUCUUUGGAGCCCUGGUGUUGUCGUCGAGUCAAAUUUUUAAAAGACAGAGAGGAGUUGUGAAAAUCAGCUUGCUUAAUGGAAGUCUGCAGUGUUAUAUAAUCAGUACCAUUGUGCUUUAUCUUACAGAAAGUUAAACAUGGCCUGUGGUCACACAGUUACUGAAGAAUUGAAGUGUAGCCUACAAUUCUUAUUCUCUCUCUCUCUCUCUCUCUCUCUCUCUCUCUCUCUCUCUCUCAUGAAUAAAAUUUGAAAUUAAACUACA